AAGUCUCAUUUUAUAAAUUCUCGUAUAAUUUUGGAGAUAGGGUCCAACAGUUUCUACCAGACUACCGUAAAUGGUCUGACUACGGGAGAUUUGUUUUGGUGU
rnacentral:ncRNA from 1 species